UUUCUUCUUCCUAAUGACAAACCAGCCGUAGACCCCUGACCUCACCCAAAUGACCCCCGACCUCACCCCAUAUCCACCCUUCAACCAACAUCAAACGAUCGCUCGUUUAUUCUCCAUCUCAGCAACUCACCGGAGGUCCUUUGCCUUUCAGUCGCCGGCCAGCCAUUGAAACUCCAACAAACAUCAUAGCCGCCGCUCACUCCCCCAUCUCUUUCACGCCAACAACCAAAGAGAAACAAACGUUCAGCCAGCAACAACCAAACAGACCCAUUUUUUAACCUUGUAUAUGGCUCCUCACCACUGACUUCACGCCGGACCACCCUAGAACCACCGUCGCUGCCCUAUCUCCUCUCUGACGCCGAUCAGCCCUCUCAGGAACAACCAAGUAACAUUUUUCUUCUAUAAUUUCUCAAUGGGUGAGGAAAGAAGCGGUGUUUAUACGAGUGGUGGUGCCGUUAACAGUAGUAACGUAUUGGGAUGUGCUUUUGGUUUCUUAAUUCGCGGUUUUGUUUGAGGUCAUGAAACUUGGUAUUGUCCGUUGGUUUUGCAGUUCAAAUCCUUGUUUUCGAUUUGAAGUUUCAAUUUGUUCAAAGGUCCGCUUCUGCUUCGCUCAUUUCUCCGAUCAUCAAUCUACUUAGUUCAUGUGCAUGUUUGCUUUGUUUGUCUAAUUUUAACGAAUAUGCAUAUAUCCUAUUAAGUGUUCUCUGUGCUCAAUCUUAAAAUUGAAGUUGCAUGAGAAUAGGGGGAAUCUGUUCCUUUAGAAUCUGUUACUAUAGAUUAAUUUAGUGUUAGUUAUGGUUUGUUUAAUUAAUUUAGUUUGGAUUGAAUCAAUUGAUUUGGUUUCCAUUCAUGACUCUAUAUGUUGUUUAGUCAUAACAAAAUUGUAAUAUGUUUAAAAUUGAUAUAAGUUCUUAAGAAAAGAAAGCAGAUUGCUUUUGGGUCAUAGGAUGGAAUUGCAGGACUGUGAUACUUGGAUAAAUAUUUUCCAUUUUUCUGCAUUUUGAAAACAUAUUUAACAAAGCCAAGGAAGUAGUUUUUUGUUCAUAAAUUGCUUAGCUUAUUUCCUAUACGUGUAGAUUGAUUUUACUGUUAUAAAAAGUUAUUGUUGGCAUGUGGAAGAUUUGAAUCUUUUUGUGAUUAUUUGGUGUCUGGUAUAAGAUGUUUAUGACCCUUGUAACCUUAAUUAAGAAUAGUUUAACUGGAGUGCGCUACUAAUAAUAAUAAGAUAAUGAUUUGUUUAAUACAUAGUGGGGACAAGACAUAUGGUAGUGGGGAAUAAUUUAUUUGUUUAAUAGAAGUGGGGGACAAGACAUAUGAUACUGCGGAACAAUUCAUUUGUUUAAUAGAAGUGGGGGACAUGACAUGUAGUAGUUAGAUUACGGGGCUCAAGAAGAUGAGACUUUUUCUUUAUUUGUUUAAUUGUUUAAAGUGGUCUGUUUUUGGACAUAAAUAAAGAGCAGUUUAGACAGAAUUAGGGCUGGUCUUUGAAAGCUAUAAAAAGUAAGUAGGUUGAGAGUUAAAAAACAAAAGUGAAGUCUUUCUUUCACUUCUGAAAAAUCAGAAUUAGUGCUUAUUCUUGUGGAAUUGAAGUUCCGAGCUCCUUUCUCUGAGUGCCUGAAGAUCACAAAACUAAUGUUCUAUUUUGCUUUUGGUUCACUUUUGCUUCUAUCUUUGAUUGUCAUCGAUAUCUCUGAGGUUUUCAUUUUAGGUUUACCUGAGUUUGCUGUUGGUUUUUAUUAUCACUAUUCACUAGGUAUUGUUGGAUUUUCUGCUUGGCUUUAAAAAUCUGUCACUGGAUUCUCAGUACUGGUUGCUGGUUAUUCCUGGUCUUUAUUGUUGUUGUUACUGUGUAUGCUACUGCUGCACUGAUCACUCCUUUUCUUCUUUUGCUUUCCAAUAUCAGGUACACAACUGAUACACUGACUAUUGUAAGCCGAUAACACGAAGCAUGAAUAUAAAAAUGAAGACUAGAAGUUCAGAAUUCACUUUAGUUUGUCUACUGAUUUGUAUAUAUUACGAUAUUAUUUCACUAGAAUCAUAUAAGUGGUUGUGAUGUACAAUUGGAUAUUUGUGUAGUAAUUUGAUCGAUAAACUCUCCAUGUUUGCGUAGUUAAAAAAAAGGGUUGAUGGUGUAGUUAAUAAUGCGCUGUUUAUUUCAGUUUGGUUGUUAGUUACAAGUUGCCUGUCU
rnacentral:lncRNA from 1 species